UACGGAGGGUGCAAGCGUUAGUCCGGAUUCACUGGGUUAAAGGGUGCGUAGGCGGGCAUUUAAGUCCGUGGUGAAAUACCUGAGCUUAACUUGGGAACUGCCAUGGAUACUAUUUGUCUUGAAUGUCGUGGAGGUUAGCGGAAUAUGUCAUGUAGCGGUGAAAUGCUUAGAGUAUGACAUAGAACACCUAUUGCGAAGGCAGCCCACUAAGCAAUGAUUGACGCUAGAGGCACGAAAGCGUGGGGAUCAAACAGGG
rnacentral:rRNA from 1 species